rnacentral:lncRNA from 1 species
AGAUUAGGAAUGCGAAGUGUGUGUGUGUGUGUGUGUGUGUGUGUGAGCACGUGCACACACACACCUGAGCAUUCCCAGGAAUGCAGCAGCAGUGCCACAGGCUGGGGACUGCCCAUGGCACCCCCCAACCAGGCCCAGAUACCCAGGGCUAAGAACCCAGCAGCCCGGGCGCAGGGAAGCUGCUCCGCGUACCUGGCGUGUGUGGUGAAGAUGCCCCGUGGCAGUGGGGUGGGGCAGCCCCUCGUCCCCAGCUGAGCCCCCGUGGUCACGAAAGCACCAUUAGAUUUCACCUUGAGCGCAUGUGUGCACACGCAAAUGCAAACACUCUCACACACACACACACACGCACACGCACACACACACGCCCUGCCUUCAGGACACCUGGGGACGAGCUGCCUAACCUCAGGCCCUGCCUCCCUGCCUCUGCCCACGCUGGGCCCUGGAACACCUGCCCGGGCUUCUCUACCAGCUGAGCUCUGUCCCCAGCCCAACCAGGCCGAUUUUUAUUCAUCCUCCAAGAACCUAUUACGGGAUGGCGCUCUGUGAAAACAGGUCCACACCCCACAUGGGACAUUACUGCUCCCUCCCCUGCUGCUCACGGAGCCCCAGUGUGACUGUGUUCACCUCUCAUCCUCACCAAAGCAGAGGAGCCCUUUAGUUUGAUCAAUGAACAUAGAGGAUAUCUGUGGCACGCAGGAGGGCAGAACAGGGCACAGGGACAAUGACCACAGAAUUGAGCCACGUACCUCACUGAGCACAUUCAAGUUCAUGUCAUCAUUACUGUGACUGCAACAGAAAACCCAAGGCCCAGAGAAGUUAAGGCAUUUGUCCAAGGUCACACAGCCAAGAAGUGGCCAGGUUGGUAUAGUACCCUGGCCUGCAGAUCUGCAAAGUGCUUGUUCUUUGCCGUGGCUAGGCAGCUGGCCAUGGAGGACAGCAGACGCCACCCAGCGUGGGGCUCACCUGGGGGAGAGCUGGGAGGCUUGUUUUGCUGAACCACUGAGAACAGGGUACAGAGGGAAGCCUGAGCCCGUCUCCACCAGGCACAGCAUGAGGAAGUGGCCCAUGGCAGCACAUGGUACUGCUGGCCCUGCCUGCUUGGAGGGUCAACUGGGACGUCUGUGUCCUGGGAACGAGCUCAUCACUAGAAGACUAAUCGUGUGAGUGUUUCAGCUUCUAUUCCCAAGAGCGUCAACAGCCCUCGUUGAACAGAAAAACUCUUCUUAUUUGGGAUGAGACGGAUCCAACCAACUCUCCAAUGAUAAAAACCUGCGGGGGGAUUUAAGGAGCCACAGCACGGCCGUCCACCCACGGAGGAUUGGAAACAGGUAGGGAAGCGGCACUGUCCCCAGCCAACAGGCACAGCGUGUCCUCACGAUUCCAAGAUGGUCCAGCCAUGAGAGGGCAUGGCGUUCUGCACCUGCCACCGUGUGGACGGUCCCUGAAAACAUGUUGGGUGAGAGGCCAG